GCGGUGGUCCCACCUGACCCCAUGCCGAACUCAGAAGUGAAACGCCGUAGCGCCGAUGGUAGUGUGGGGUCUCCCCAUGCGAGAGUAGGACACUGCCAAGC
rnacentral:rRNA from 1 species